GUGCCAGCAGCCGCGGUAAUACAGAGGGUGCGAGCGUUAAUCGGAAUUACUGGGCGUAAAGGGCGCGUAGGCGGUUAUAUGUGUGGGAUGUGAAAGCCCCGGGCUUAACCUGGGAAGUGCAUACCAAACUGUAUAACUGGAGUAUAUGAGAGGGUAGUGGAAUUUCCGAUGUAGCGGUGAAAUGCGUAGAGAUCGGAAGGAACGCCAAUGGCGAAGGCAACUAUCUGGCAUAAUACUGACGCUGAGGCGCGAAAGCGUGGGGAGCAAACAGGAUUAGAUACCCUGGUAGUCCACGCUGUAAACGAUGAGGACUAAAUGUGGGAUGGGCGACCAUUCUGUAUUGAAGCUAACGCGAUAAGUCUUCCGCCUGGGAAGUACGGCCGCAAGGUUGAA
rnacentral:rRNA from 1 species